AUCGCUUCUUGGCCUUUUGGCUAAGAUCAAGUGUAGGAUCUUGGUAUCUGCUCUCUUGUUAGUAGAAAAACACUUAAAUUGUGUGGGAAUCUACAGAUAUAUCUCUUAAUCUUUUUUAAAGAUUUAUUUAUU
ensembl:snRNA U2 U2 spliceosomal RNA